GGCUGCGCGCCGCCGGGCGGGACCAGGCACGGGCACCGGCACGGAUACGGACACGCCUCCGCCUGCCCCGCGACGCCGGGGCCGGGCUGAGGCGACGGGAACCGAGAGCGGCCGCGGUCCUCGGGGCACCCCACAGCCCUUCCCCAGCCGCCGCCCGGGGCCCCGGGUCCGGAGCGGGCGGCGGGCGGGGGCGGCGCGGCUGCGGGGUUGCGCGAGAGUUUGACCUGACGAUGGAUCCGGUAGAUGCACCGGCGGAACCGUCCCGCGGCGCGGAGCGGCCACGCGGGGUGAGAGCGCGGCGGCAGCUCCGCUCCGCGCUGCCUGGCUUGGCGAGGGCUCCUGUCCACCCUCGGGGCACGCAGCUGUCCGCAUCCUGCUCGCGCCCUGCCGGUCCGAGGACAGGGACUGCAACACCGGACUUCUAGGAGGGAUGAUCCUGGCAGAAGAAGUAAAGGUUGGGUCAUGUUUGGGGGCAGUAAAUUGGAGCGCUUUUGGGGAUUCCGAUCGUUACCUGUCUCCUGGAUCUCUAACAGGGAGGAGAGUGCAUUUCGUGCUAUGGAACACUGACACCCUUCUCUAAUGCUCUUUUGUGGGAAAACGCCACGGAUGUUACAGGACCCGAAGAAGAGGAGCACUGCCUGGAGAGCCUGGAAGAGGAGCUAAUUAACGAACCUCGUAAGCGGCCAGUGACCCCGCACCUGGAGGGAUGUGCAGGCACGUGCCCUGCCACCACUGGGCAAUGGCCCCGUCUCCCCCGACACCCCUCCGCUGGGACGGGAGGCAGUUGCCCACUCCGCCGGGGCUGCCCUGGGACUCUCUGCAGCCGGACCAGCCCGCGUGGCCACCGCUGCUGACGGUGCAGGAGAAAACCCCUGGACUGCUCGGCACGCUUGGAGGCAGUGGGAGCAAUGCUGCUGGGGAUACACUGGCAUCUUCUCGCUGGUGAUGCACGUGGUAGGAGCCCCAUUCAAGAAACGGGAAGAUGCAGUGACAGUCCUCAUGCCUCUCUGCUGAUGCCAUGCCAAAGUUUUUUGUGCCUUGGGAUGCAGCGUCUGGCGUCGGUAAGGGUGAGAAGAGGGAGCACAUCACUAUUCCUGGGCUCAGGGCUGUCCGUGUGACUUAAGAACUUUGAAGGGGUCUCCAAAGCAGCCUGUUACCCUGCUCUCACAAGGAACACAGCUGCAGAGCCACGUCAUCCUCUGCCCUUCUGACAGCCUCUGAAUCUGUCCAGGGCUGGGCUGCCAGGCUGGGCCUGAGUUAGCGUUUAUCUCCAAGUACCAGCUGCUAUUUCAUGGAGCUGGUUUGAGCUGUUACAGGGGGAGAGAGGCUGGCAGGAGGAAAUUAGUCUAAAUGUUCUCUCCCUCAAAGGAAAACUCAUGUUGGCUGCUUUUGCUGGGGUGGUCUCUGCCCCACAUUCAGUCCUAGCGCUGAUCUCCUUUGGAGCUGGAGGCAGUGUCAUGCUCGGCCCUGAUUUGGCGUUCACAGUGUGCUCCCCUGUGGAGAAAGAAGAGAGACAAUAAGAUGCUCCCUGGUAAAACAUCUGUGGUCUUGGCUAACAUCCACCAGUGUCUUGGGCUUCGGGUUCAAGCAUUUGCACUCUGUCCGUUCUCUGCUGCCCCAGAAGCAGGGGGGCUGGCAUGCCAGUGAUGCCAGCAGUGUGGCUGUCAUUGGGAGAGGAGGCAAACAUCGGGGUAUGGCUUCCCUGGCCAUGGGAACAUGGAGAAGCUCAGUGGAAACUCAGUGGAAGCUUGUGUUCAGAGCCUGGUAUGUACUGGGGGGUGCACUGGUUUGCACCAUCCAGCCCAAACACACUGUGAGGGCUGGUUCAGGACCCCUCUGAACUGGUACCAGUACAGCACAGCCCAGGAGCUCCACAACCUUGCAGCUAAAGCAAUGUCCUGUGCUGUCCGGCCUCAGGUGUUUGAGCAAGGGCUGCUGCAUCUUCUUUGUCACCCUGAAAUCCCUCCUGGAUGUGAGACUGAGACAACAAGACUGAGACAACAACACCCCCUAGUUAUGUACCCAGUGGGAAAACUGCUCCCCCCUGGGGCCUCUAGGACUGUGGGAACUGGGGGUGUGCUGGGGAAGUUCGCUCACUGAUGGCUGAGAUGGAAAGACCGCUUGUCUGAUCCUGGACCUUGACCUAAGUGACAGUGUGUGGCUGCUAUGCUGUACAGGUCUUACCCUGAAGCUGUUCCCCUCCCUCUUGGUCACCCCUCCACUGGGGUCUUUCCUGGGGUGUUCCUGGCUGCCCCCAGUGAUGCUAUGGGGGUGUCUGUGCCUGAAUGCUCCCUUCGAUGCCCUGAGACAGGCUGUUUUGGGACAAACCUCAGUGCUGUGGGUGGGGCAGGUCUGUGUCCUGGCAUCGUUAUUCCCAAUGCCUUGCAGUGUACCUCAUGGACAGCACUGUCCUGCACAGCCUUGGCACUGAGGAUGCUCAGGAUUACUCAGACUUCCAGCUGUUGGUACCUGGCUUAUUUAUGAAGUGCAUUAAGUGUCAGACACAAGCUGGAGGAUGAACACAGAUGAGCACUGACUGUCCUGCGGUGAUCGCAUACCUGCCACAAUUCUGCAUUGUGUGAGCCCAGUUAUGUCUGGGGAAGACCUGGAGGCACAACUGGGAAAAGUUUGCUGUGCUAAUGAGGAGCCUUGUCCGCCUCACCCCAAACCUCGUGGGCAGGCUCUGCCUGCCCUGGAGCCAGCACACAAGCUCAGGGCUCUCUUCAGCCAGCUUUGCACCCCACACAAUGGGUUUUCUCACCCCCAUGGUGGCCUGGCAGGGCCACAUGAUCUCACCUGGAGCAUGGCUUGUUUGAUUUGGAAAUAGGCGUAGGAGGAAAUAUUACAGAUGGAGACCCUACAUAAGAAACGGGAAGAAGCAGGUAUAUUGUAGGGCUGUGAAUAAAAAGUAGAGACUAAGCUCAGUCAUAAUUUAGAAAAACAGCCUGUCCAAAAAAACCUGUUACCUGCAAAAGGCCGUUUCCUUCUGCCAGCUGUCAUUGACGCCUCCAGGAACUGGGACUGGUGUUCCCAAGGCAGGGAGAGGCCAGAGCAGUCGGAGACUGCCAGGGGCUCACUGCAACUGACAGGCAGUGCUGAUGUGUGGGAUGGAGCUGGGGCAGAGCUUACAUGAGGAGAGGGCUGCUGGCACCAUGGGCAGCCCCAUCUUUCCGUCUCUAUAAACAUACUUGUGUUCUUGCAGGGCCCAGCACAGCUGGACGUGGAAGGCAAAGCCAAUCUGUAUCCCAGGGAAGGGCCCAGGGCUACACUGCAGUGCUGUGGUCUGGUGAGCUGGUUCAGGGGCAAACAGCUCUACAUUUCUUUCUGAAGGUGACAUUAAGCCUCCUGGGUUGAAGAACAAUAAUUGCCCAUCCCUGACUGCAGCUUCCAAUCACACAUCGUUGAACAGCUUGAAAGUACUGGGGGAAUGGUUGGACUUGAUGCUCUCAGAGGGUUUUUCUGAUCUAAAUGAUGCUGUGAUUCCAUGAUUUCAGCAGACAGAAGUGUUGGGUGCUGUGCAGAUAGGAUGGGCAUCACCUGACACACAGCACGAGCACCUAAUCCUUUGCCACCAGGGCUCAGCACCUCUCCUGCUGCCUGUUUAAAGCCAAAGACGUGCUUCAUUGUCUGUCUCCUCCUCCUUGUUUCUGGAAUUUUAAUAACAUGCUCUCUUAACACUUGCACUCUCUUCGUAUUGGAGUUUUGGGUCUCAGUCUUUUAAAAUUCUUCCUUAUUCACAUUUCUUUCUUACACAGUUUAUUCCUUCUUUGUUCAGAUGACUUCUCAGUAGAAAACAGAAAAAUCUCCAUCACCAGCCUGCCCCAAUUCCCUCAGAGCCAUGUGCAGAGCUCGUUUCCAUAAUAGAUGGGAAUUUGUUGUUCUACCAGUUACUGAUUUAAGUCUUUUCCUUAAGCCAAAUUUUGCAUGGAAGAUAGUGUCCAGUAAUCCAAGCUAUUAUUCUUCUGGAUGUUCCAUCUCCUCUCUUAUAUCCAAGCAACAUGCUGAGGGCUAAUGUUCAACUCAUCAUGGUGGGAGAAUGAAGAGCUACCCUACACCUCAUUUGUACACAGAAGAAAGAACAAACUUUUAUUUACAGUGUUUGCAGUCUUCAAUUUAUAAUAUUUACGGUCUCUACAGUUGCAGUGUAGACUAUGCAGGAGCUCACCACUGCGAUAACCACAAUGAAAAGGUUGCACCAAAAAGGAGUUAAUUUUCACUGCAAAAAUUACUCUGGAAUGCAGGCUGGAGUGUUGCUCCCCAGCAAAGGAAUACAAUAUUCCACUGGAAGAGGAGGAGAAAGUGAAUUUAGUGAUUAUUAUGCAUAAGCAUCCCAAACAAGCAGAACCAGGAAAAUAAUAAGAUAACUAAUAUUUUUGAGAAGCUGCUAAUUGGAAAAAAAAAUAGAGACACAGAAGCAAAAGAAUUCUAGUAAUAACUCUUCAAAAAGAGCGAACUGGUGUCUGGCAUGGAUCCCCACUGCUUCCGAGCUUGUUCAAUUAAAAUCAACAUUGAAUGGGUUUUCUUUCACUUCCAUUACUCAAGCUGCAUCCUUCAAAAGGAUGGCAAAUGAUUGAUAUGCAUAUGAAAGAACCACAGAGUAUGAAAUUACAAAAUGAUACAGGGUUUGGAUAUUUGCACUUUGAGAUAUUAAAUCUUCUGAAGGAAAAUAUUUGAGCAAAUUCUGAAUAAAGAACCCUACAGAGGAGAAAAGAAGAGCAGCAAGAUAAUCUAAUAAGGCAGGGGCUCAGGAAUUUCCAGGUGCUGAAUUUCUCAGUUCAGCCAUGACACGGUGUUUCCAGCCCAGGAUCUGCUCUCUCUGGUCUGGGCAUUCGCUACCAGGGUCUUGUGUAUGUUCGUAACACAAACGAGGUUCAAGGUCCUGACUCGGAUUUAACCCUUUCCAGACAUACAGAGAUGCUAAAAAUCACUUCAUUGCUCCUGGUGCCCACACUCCUUUGGUUUUUGCAGGCUCAGCAUUGCUGCUACACCUCUCCAAGCAGGUGGGAACCUUCUCAACUGUCCCAACAGGCUCUGCAGCACAGACAGCCCCUGCUGCUCUGCAGCCAUGGCUCCCAGGAGGGCACCACUGCUCUGGCGCUCCCUGGUGUCCUGCCCGGCCACGGACACACUUCCUCACAGCUGGCAGCUGGCAGGAAGAGCCAAAGGAGAGGUGUCAUGGUAGUUUGGAUCUCUCAAAUGUACAGGACAAAGUGCUCUGUAAAUUAGGUUUUUUUAAUGAGCUCAUUAGGAGAUAAGAGAACCAAGCACAACAAACAAGGAUUUGAUCCCCUUUGCCCAAGGGAUUCACAUGGAUUCACUUAUUCACUACUUGAGUAAUGAGAGUCCAUAAUGUAUAAGCCAUAACUGAAUCACACACCUAUGAGCAAAGAAGAUCCCAAUCCAGGGGUGAGUGUUCAUUUCUCCUCCUCCAUCAUGGAGUGGGCAUCCCCUCCAGCACAAAAGGAGGCAGGGAAGCCUCAGCAGUCCCACUGCUGUGGGAUCCACUGCAAAGGCUUUUGGGAUGAGCUGACUUCUACACCUCCCAGCUUGGUCUGUUCUAUUCCCAGGAGACAGCAGACUCUGAUAGAGCUUUCUGACAGGUGAUAUGUGGAGAUGCUGGCUGCAGGGAUGGGGAACAGUGGCUGCAUUGCAGAUCUUCAGCUCCUUCUGUCCACCUCCUGCCACCAUGGGGCUCUUGCUCUGACCCAGUGAUGCUGCUCCCAGCACACACCAGGCUGGUGGGCUACAGGCUGGGUUAGCCAAAAAUCUGAUCAGGAGUCACAGGAACACUCACAAUGUUCCAGGAGUCAGGGAGAUCGGGGAGACCUGGGUCAGGAGCUGUCACUGCUAAUUACCCUCUUACUCCUGUUGCUAACAGGAGCUCUCAGCAACUCCUGCCAGUGUCACCUCUCAAGGAUAGGAUCCUCUGUCCUGCGGGGUGCCAUUCCUUAAGGAGAAGUGGUAGGUGCGUCAUGCCAGUCUGACCUGCCACAGGGCACAGACCGAGAGCCACAGGGUCCUGGCUUUUGCUGCUGUUUGAAGUUCUUCUGGAAAUGAACCCAGGCUGGGUUAAAGAAAAACAACUUCAAUAGGCAAAACUCAACUGUCUCCCCGGGUAAGCUGCUUCAAUCUCUUGCUGUCCUCAACAAAAAUGCAUGUUUUACUUCUGAACUUCAGUUUCCCACUGUAGCUUCCAAACACGGGGGUUUUUUUUCUUUUUUUUUUAAGUCCAGCCCCUGAAGAGGAAUGUUUUCCUGCUUUUCCUGUUCCUCAGGCCCUGAAUAACAUUUCCUAAUGUGCUGGGAUUGUCUGUGGGUUAACGGGAGGGGAUCAGGGGAUACUGAGAACCGUGCUGCCACCUCCAGACCAAACCCCUCUCUUCCCACCCUCACGCUGCUGCCCUGAGUAGCCACGUGUCUGCUGGUCCUUGGAGCUCACACAGGACAGUGAAGGAUAAAGGCUGGUGCUACCACAUGGUUUUGAAAAAAUGUGGCUGCCAAAAGGGUUUGGUCAUCUGAACAGGUUGAGAAAUGCUGAAAAUCGCAGGAAAACAGGUGCUUUUCUCCUUGUGUUGGAGCUGCCCAGGAAGGUGUGGGGCUCCUGUGCUGGCACAGAGCCCAAGAGCCACGCACCCCCUGCACCCUCAGGAAGGUGGCCAACCCUGUCCCCCCCACUCACGGUCUGGUCCCCAUGGAUGAGUGCCUGCACCAGCUCAAGCCUGGCUCCCACAGAGGUCUGGAGGUGCCACCACACUCCUCUCUCUGAGCAUCACCCUCCUCUGCUCCUUGUCCUACUCCCUGCCUGCCCGUCACAGCUGCUGGCUGCCCGGCUCUGCUCUCCAGGAGAUGUGUAAAUAUCAGUUAAUCUGAUGCUCUGAGUUCUAAAAAAACCACCCAAAAUCUCCACCACGACUAUUUUAUAGCCUCAGGGAGUGAGAUUGCAAAGAGGCGGUGCCCUUGGGAGGUCAGGGAGAUAGGAAUAUGGAACAGGAAUUCAGUGUGCAUAGACACAUGAAAAUAUCCAGGAAAUGGGAACUAUAUGUCCAGAAAAUAUCUUUUACACGGCAGUGACCAAGCCUUUCAGGGACCUGUGUGGAGCAGCAGUUGUCCUUGUGCACCAAGCCAAAGACGGGUCUGGGAACGCUCCCCUCUGCAUUGGGGUUAACACCCUUCAGAAAUGCCUCACCCAUUGCCCCCACCAUAGUGGGGUCCCCUGCCUCAGGCUCUGCACCUGCUGAGCCCCACAGCCCAGUGUGAGCCCUGCACCACCAUGGCAGAUAUCUCACUGGCAGCACCUCCUGCCACAGCAGCUCCCACCUGCACUCAGCAUCCUCCUGCUGAGCUGUGCAGGAGCUGUUGUGUGGCACCGGCCUGGAAAUCUGCUUUCCUGGUUUCUGGGUACAAGACAGCUCAGGUUGCUGGUGCAAACAUGAGAGCUCAGUGCAAGAAUCUCUGUGCAGCUCAGCCUGGCCAGCCUCACACAGCCCGGGUGGGCAGUCUGUGAUAAUCUUGCCUGGGAGUCAGGCAACAGGAAAAUAUUCCUGGCUGAAGAACUUGGCUGCAAUUUGUCUCCCUGAAACCCGAUUUGUUUGACUCCUAAAUUACCUACUCCUAAAAUUUUCUCCUAAAUUUACUCCUAAACUACCUAUCCAGUUGUCUCCAGCUGCUAUUUCUUCCCAAUUUCUCCUGUGAAUUUGCACACUGCUAAGGACUAACCUCAAGAUUCCUGUUUUUCUGUCUCACUUCAACCCUUUCUUAAACUAGAGGAACAAGCGUACCUCUUUUCCCCACCCAUGACACCAUUCCCAAUUUGGCAGUCACUAUAAUCACAGCUUCUGGUCCGUCACAACAGCACCUUGGGAUGAAGACCUGGUUUCUGUGCAGAGGAAUCUUAAAUAAAGCUGGGCACAGCUCUGUUUCAGAGAUGCA